CUAUCAUUAACUGAAUCCAUAGGUUAAUGAGGCGAACCGGGGGAACUGAAACAUCUAAGUACCCCGAGGAAAAGAAAUCAACCGAGAUUCCCCCAGUAGCGGCGAGCGAACGGGGAGCAGCCCAGAGUCUGAAUCAGUGUGUGUGUUAGUGGAAGCGUCUGGAAAGGCGCGCGAUACAGGGUGACAGCCCCGUACACAAAAAUGCACAUAUUGUGAGCUCGAUGAGUAGGGCGGGACACGUGGUAUCCUGUCUGAAUAUGGGGGGACCAUCCUCCAAGGCUAAAUACUCCUGACUGACCGAUAGUGAACCAGUACCGUGAGGGAAAGGCGA
rnacentral:rRNA from 1 species